rnacentral:rRNA from 1 species
GACGAACGCUGGCGGCGUGCUUAACACAUGCAAGUCGAACGGAAAGGCCCUGCUUUUGUGGGGUGAUCGAGUGGCGAACGGGGGAGUAACACGUGAGUAACCUGCCCUAGACUUUGGGAUAACUUCAGGAAACGGGGGCUACUACCGGAUAGGAGAUGCUGCUGCAUGGUGGGGGUUGGAAAGUUUCGGCGGUUGGGGAUGGACUCGCGGCUUAACGGCUUGUUGGUGGGGUAGUGGAUUACCAAGGAUUUGACCGGUAGGCGGCCGGGGAGGGUGACCGGCCACCUUGGGACUGAGGUACGGCCCAGUGUCCAACGUGAGACAACGGUGGCAAGUAUUGCACAAUGAGCGCAAGCCGGUUGCGGCGGCGCCGCGUGUGGAAAGACGGCCUUCUGGUUGUAAACCGCAUCCGCUUGUGACCAAGCUGUAGUGACGGUAAUCAGUGAAUAAGCACCGGCUAACUUCGUG